rnacentral:siRNA from 1 species
GCCGGAGUUGGACGUCUGCCUCA